AACGGCCGCAGUACUUUGACUGUGCUAAGGUAGCAAAAUAAAUUGGCUUUUAAUUUAAGUCGAGUAUGAAUGGCGUCAUGGGUGUAAGCUGUCUCAGUUAAUUAUUUUUAUGAAUUUAACCUGUAGGUGAAAACGCCUACGAAUAAAUAUUAGACGAGAAGACCCUUAGAGUUUUUAAUAUGUAGUACUGUAUUAUUCAUAUUCUUUUUUGUUGGGGCGACAAAGUAUCAUAUAAAGCAUACUUAAUUAAUAAAGACAAGUCUUCCUUAAAAAUGAGUAUAACUACCUAAGGGAUAACAGCAUAAUUUUUUUUUAAGAUUGUGACCUCGAUGUUGGACUAGGGACUUAAUAUAUUAGCCAUAUA
rnacentral:rRNA from 1 species